GGGCUGGAGGAAGGGCCCAGGCAGAACCCAGAGCUCUAGCGGUUGCCAUGGCAGCAGCAGGACUAUGUAAAGCUUCCCGAAGCAGAUCUGCUGUCUCAAGAGCUUAUACCACAGCCAUAGGCUGUCUGUGUUUAGCCUGUGCUGGGGGGAGACAGUUCAGCGUUUUCCCACUCCCUCUGUCAGCUUGCCUUGAGAUUAUUUGCUGACACCCUGGAGACACAGGUCAGAUGAGGCCGCUGACCCAGGUCUUCAGGGGUUUGUACAAGAGCUUGCUUGGCCCUUGUUUGUUUGGAAGGAGCGUGGCAAAGCAGACACUGCUGUAUUUAGCCAUUGGUGAGAUGUCUGGUCCUGUAGCAACUGAACAUCCUUUACUAACUGCAGAGUGGUUGAUCUAAGACAAAAUUGAUUCCGCUGUAAUAAUGGGAUUACUUAGAAAUACGUAGACCUAUCGUACAGGGGAUAUGUCUUAAAUGCACAUUUCGCUCAGAACAUUUCCCUCCCUUCCUCCCUCCCUCUUUCUCUCCCUCUCUUCAUCCCUCCGUCCCUUCCUCUUUCCAUUUCUUCCUUCCUCCUUCCCCUCCUCUGCCUUUUUAUCCUUCCAUUCCUUCCCUCCUCUCUCCCUCCUCCCCUCCCCUCCCCUCUCUGCCC
rnacentral:lncRNA from 1 species